GUAUCGCCUGCCCAGUGACUCUUUAAACGGCCGCGGUAUCCUAACCGUGCAAAGGUAGCAUAAUCACUUGUCCCAUAAAUCGAGACCGGAAUGAACGGCUAAAUGAAGACUAAACUGUCUCUUGCGGCCAGACCAAUGAAAUUGAUCUUCCAGUACAAAAGCUGAAAUAUACCCAUAAGACGAGAAGACCCUGUGGAGCUUUAAAACCAAGCGCAUCAAGCAUGCCUCUUGGAUUUUUAGUUGGGGCGACUUUGGAGCAUAAAAAAACCUCCAAAACAUGAAAUUUAAAUUAAGACCAACACGACAAAAUAAUAACAUAAGACCCAGCAACCAACUACACGUUGACUGACCAAUGAACCAAGUUACCCCAGGGAUAACAGCGCCAUCCCCUUCCAGAGUCCAUAUCGACAAGGGGGUUUACGACCUCGAUGUUGGAUCAGGACACCCCAAUGGUGCAGCCGCCAUUAAAGGUUCGUUUGUUCAACGAUUAAAGUCCUA
rnacentral:rRNA from 1 species